GAGAACAAGCUCACAAAAUUCCAGUUAAUUCUAUACACUUAUAAUCAUAAAUCGGUUCAUAAUACUACAAAAAGAUCCCCAGCUGAUAUCUUCCUGUACGCCGGACUACCAGAUUAUAACACCCAACUGAAUAAGAUUAGGAAGAUCAAUCAUUUGAAUAACGAUAGAAUCGACUUUGAAGUAGACACACGCUACAAAAAUGCACCCCUAGUUAAAAAAUAACAACCAAUCCGAUCAAAAGAAUAGGGGAAAUUCGGCAGAGUACCCGAAGAGAGUACUGGGAAUCUGGAGCUACAACAUGAUUAAGAUUAUAAUCUUACUAAUGUUCACCGUCCUACAGUCUACCGGACAGAAUAUAGAGAUAGAUCCCAUCAACUCAAGGAAUGGAUAUCUCAUAUUUAAAACACAUUCCAUUAACAUACCCAUUAAUUAUGAAUAUCAUUAUUUAACAAUUAAUAUAACAAAAACAGAUGAAACAUAUCAGAGUUUACUACACCAGGCAACCCAAUUUAAUAACGUAAUCCAAGUUCAAUAUUUAGUCGAGACAUUGCAACGUGAAUUCAACGGCAUAAAAAUAGCCAAAAGAAA